UUCUGUUCACCAAAUUGAAAAAAAAACUCUAAACUAGAAUUGGACUACUUAGCUAUCGAUUCUCCGGAGUUCUCUUCCUCGACGCAGACAACCCUUCCUACUGUGACACCACCGCUGCUGCUAUUGUUUCGGCUGGUAACCGCUGCUGUCCCCGCCGACGCUCGGGUUUGGAAAUGUCGUCGAAAAGGUCUGGGAAGUGUCGUUGUGCGUCGGAUGCCUCGCUGCCACCGCUGGUCUGCCUCCGCCACCGCUGCUAGUCUGCCGGAGGGCAGAAAAUCCGGCUUGAGGUGGAGAACUAGUUCCUACGGAACAAGCUUCAUUCUGAUUCAGUGGUGGGGCUGAGGGCAAUAGCCUCGGGUUGUCCUCUAUUUCCAACUUUCGCACUGGACGUAUGCCCUCUGUUAACCGUAUGAUUGAGAACCUCUCGGAUUGGGACAUAGACACCUCUGAUUCUGAGGGUGGGGGCUAUGGUGGUCGCGACUCCCCUAAGGCAUCGCCGCGGGAUGAUAAAGUGGCCAAUGGUGGUGCAAGACACAUUUAUUUUGCCAAUGCACCUGGGAAUUGUAAUGAUAGAGUCGUUGUAGGGCACCAUGAUUCUGCUAGGGUGUCUUCUGAAUCUGUCACUAACUGAACUCCACCCCCACCCCGGACACCACUAGUAGCAACAGCGUUUCAGUGGAGAAACGGAACAAUAAAGGGGCUAAUCCAUCUAGCACCAGCGUGCAGCCAAAUAUGAAAACCAUGAGAUAGGUUCAUAGUAUCUUGUUUGGUGUUUCGAGUUUAUUUGGAAAGAUAUUUAAGUGAUCAAUUCUCAGCUUUGGCGGAUAUUGCCAAGAUGGUGGGUAUGAGACCUCUGGAGAAGUUUCUAGAAAAGCUGGAUACGUUUUUUAAGAAUGCAGCUGUAGCUUCUCAUCCGUUGAGCGGUCAAUAUCCAACAUUUCAUUCAAGUGGUCUAGGCAACUGGUAUGCUGUUUUAUCUUAUGAUGCAUCUGUCCGCCUAUGCCCCCACUCGUGGGCAAGGAGCUGUAUGGAGCUCCUCCCUUUUUGGAAAAUGAAUGCUCACUGCUGAGGGAUGUAUUAGGGUUAAGAAAUAUAUUAUUAAAAUCAGAGGAAAAGCUGACGAGGAAAGAUCAUUCUGAACUUGUGGGUGAAGGCGCUUACGUAAAGUCUAAGAAAACCAUCGGGAAGAUUAGAGGUCCAGUUCGUAAUGUGAAAAUGGGGACGAAGCAACCCACUGGUUUCACGUUUACAUCUUUAAAGUCUUCAUCCACGGUGAAGCUGGAAACAUUUCAGCAAAGGUUAUCAAAUGUGAAAUUGGUUGUUUCAUCCAACAAAAAGAAACAAAAAAAAGAAAAAAAAGAAAAAAAGAAAAAAGGAAAAAAUGAAAAAAGAGAAAAAAAAAAUAAAAAAAAUCUGACAUUGUAAGAGGCUCUCUUUAUUGCAUAGAAGCGUUGCACACUUAAUUGUUGGGACUCAUGGAUACUUGAAAGAAGUACCCAUGCUCAUAAAGCGCAUCAACUUAUGAAUUGGUGCAAGAAUCAUAUUCUUGUAUGUUGAGAUUGAAAAGUUCGAUCGAAGAGGAUGCAUUGGGAAUGCAACCGGGACCUGCUUGCCAGGUGGAUUUGGAGAUGAUCUGAAUCUGAAUUAUAUUGUGGGCAUGUUCUUGUUCAGGUGGCUGACAUUUCUGAUGAAUCGGGGAAGAAGCGUGGUCAGUGUAUUAUAUCCGGGGAAAAAGAGCAUGAAAAAGCUGAGAAAAAUACAGCUAUACAUCAACUACUCAACCACUGCAGAUAAAGAUAGUUACAAGUGCAUAUCUGUAGCAGAAACUAUCGCUUAAGACUGUGUUUUGGAGACUGCGAUGAAAGGCCAACAGUUUCAGCACAGAAACUUGUUGCUACAUGGUUCGUGGAAAUGGUUGGUGGAUUCAUUUGCAUCUUUUCUGGAGUUUUAGAUGCAUACACAAAGCUCAGAUACCUUUCAUACGUUAUGGAUAUCUCCACAGCAACAGUAGAUUAUCUUGAUUUGGUGCACGACAUUCUGCUGCCCGUGGUAAUCAAAGACAAAAGUAAGCACACAUUGAGUCACUAAGAGGCCGGUUUUCUGGGAGAAGUUUCUGUUUCUGUUCAAAUUGAGCAGAUACUCACUCUGGUCUUGGAGAAUUUCAAGUAACUUGAUGAAUCAUCGAUGUCGGGUAUUAAAGAUGUAUUCGGACCUGCAACAGGAUUGGCUGCACCUGCACUUGAUCCAGCUUUGAAGCUCUACAAAUGGUUGCAUGAUAUCCUUUCCCCGAGAUGUGAAGGUAGCAGUGAAAAACAAAGUUCCUCUUGUAAGGUCGUUGACUUGAGCUGUGUUACAUUCUGUAUUGAAACAAGUAACACAGCGACCAUACCUAAGGUUCACGAGGAAUAUGUUCCCUCAUUUAUUUUGGAGUGGUCUAGGCAACUGGUAUGCUGUUUUAUCUUAUGAUGCAUCUGUCCGCCUAUGCCCCCACUCGUGGGCAAGGAGCUGUAUGGAGCUCCUCCCUUUUUGGAAAAUGAAUGCUCACUGCUGAGGGAUGUAUUAGGGUUAAGAAAUAUAUUAUUAAAAUCAGAGGAAAAGCUGACGAGGAAAGAUCAUUCUGAACUUGUGGGUGAAGGCGCUUACGUAAAGUCUAAGAAAACCAUCGGGAAGAUUAGAGGUCCAGGUGACUAUGUGUUCGUAAUGUGAAAAUGGGGACGAAGCAACCCACUGGUUUCACGUUUACAUCUUUAAAGUCUUCAUCCACGGUGAAGCUGGAAACAUUUCAGCAAAGGUUAUCAAAUGUGAAAUUGGUUGUUUCAUCCAACAAAAAGAAACAAAAAAAAGAAAAAAAAAGAAAAAAAGAAAAAAGGAAAAAAUGAAAAAAGAGAAAAAAAAAAUAAAAAAAAUCUGACAUUGUAAGAGGCUCUCUUUAUUGCAUAGAAGCGUUGCACACUUAAUUGUUGGGACUCAUGGAUACUUGAAAGAAGUACCCAUGCUCAUAAAGCGCAUCAACUUAUGAAUUGGUGCAAGAAUCAUAUUCUUGUAUGUUGAGAUUGAAAAGUUCGAUCGAAGAGGAUGCAUUGGGAAUGCAACCGGGACCUGCUUGCCAGGUGGAUUUGGAGAUGAUCUGAAUCUGAAUUAUAUUGUGGGCAUGUUCUUGUUCAGGUGGCUGACAUUUCUGAUGAAUCGGGGAAGAAGCGUGGUCAGUGUAUUAUAUCCGGGGAAAAAGAGCAUGAAAAAGCUGAGAAAAAUACAGCUAUACAUCAACUACUCAACCACUGCAGAUAAAGAUAGUUACAAGUGCAUAUCUGUAGCAGAAACUAUCGCUUAAGACUGUGUUUUGGAGACUGCGAUGAAAGGCCAACAGUUUCAGCACAGAAACUUGUUGCUACAUGGUUCGUGGAAAUGGUUGGUGGAUUCAUUUGCAUCUUUUCUGGAGUUUUAGAUGCAUACACAAAGCUCAGAUACCUUUCAUACGUUAUGGAUAUCUCCACAGCAACAGUAGAUUAUCUUGAUUUGGUGCACGACAUUCUGCUGCCCGUGGUAAUCAAAGACAAAAGUAAGCACACAUUGAGUCACUAAGAGGCCGGUUUUCUGGGAGAAGUUUCUGUUUCUGUUCAAAUUGAGCAGAUACUCACUCUGGUCUUGGAGAAUUUCAAGUAACUUGAUGAAUCAUCGAUGUCGGGUAUUAAAGAUGUAUUCGGACCUGCAACAGGAUUGGCUGCACCUGCACUUGAUCCAGCUUUGAAGCUCUACAAAUGGUUGCAUGAUAUCCUUUCCCCGAGUUUUCUGCAGAUGUGAAGGUAGCAGUGAAAAACAAAGUUCCUCUUGUAAGGUCGUUGACUUGAGCUGUGUUACAUUCUGUAUUGAAACAAGUAACACAGCGACCAUACCUAAGGUUCACGAGGAAUAUGUUCCCUCAUUUAUU